AUGCGGAGUGAGCAGGGUCGUGAGCGCCACGUUCUCCCGUCUGCGGCCCGGCGCCCCUCCCCGCCCGGCCGGCCCUGUCUCGGUUGUGCCAUCCAAGCCCUCUCAGCUGGGCUCCUGGCUGUGCAGGAUCCGUUUCCUCCCAGCCUCUGCAUCCCAGCGGCCCUGGAAUCCUCUGGCCGCGGCUUCCUGCCUCUCUCCAAGCAUCCUCGUGUUUUAUUCAUCGCCGGCGGUUUCAGCGUUCGCCUGUUUGAACCGGGGCUGAGCCACGCUUUCCUCGGCCUUGCAGGUCAGAGCGGGCGAGCCACGUCCCCGGGGCUGGGACGUCGGUUUCAGUCUGUUCUGCCGAUCAGCUCCUGCUUGGGGGAACCGUGUGUUCUUAAACCUCCUGGCAAGCAGCCAGCAUUGCGAACGGCUUUUGCGUCUGCUGGCUCGGAAUCGAGCCAGGAGGGCUGCACCUCCCACCUGGUGAAGCUCGCGGGCAGUCGGUGCAGCGCUGGGACCCGGGAGACGCGUGCAAAGGACUCAGCCCGUGACCGUGCACGAAUCUCAACUGAGUUGCAACAGUGCGUGAGUCUUCAAACACGUGCCAUGUGGGGCAUUUCUACACGCGUGCGUGCCUGUCUAACCCCAAGCGUGACCAAGACACAAAGACUGGGGCCUGCACUGUGGUGCCUGCGACACCAGCAUCCCGUAUGGGUACUGGUUUGAGCUCAGGCUGCUCCACUUCCGAUCCAGCUCUCUGCUGUGGCCUGGGACAGCAGUGGAGGAUGCCCCAAGUGCUUGGAUCCCUGCACCCACGUGGGAGACCCCGAAGAAGCUCCUGGCUUCAGAUUGGCCCAGAUCUGGCCCUUCUGGCCAUCUGGGGAAUGAACCACUAGAUGGAAAACUCUCUCUCUCUCUCUCCACCUCCCAUCUUUCCCUCUCUUUGUGUGAUUCUGACUUUCAAAUGAAUAACUUUAACAAAAAAAUGUAUGAAGACUGUUCUGCAGCCGCCAGGCCGUGCCUCCCGCCGAGGCAGCCCCUGUGCCCGCAGACGGGUUUCCUUGUUUCAGAAUUCUGUGUAUGGAACCACGCAUCCUGACCGCGUCCUUCUGUGUAUGGAAUCGCGCAUCCUGACCGUGCCCCCCCACCAUACUCUUGUGCAGGGGGGGCUGUUAAUUUCCACUGCUGUGUGCUCUUGCGCGGUGGGGCUGCGCCACGCCCCCACCCGCUCUGCCGAGGCCGGCACUUGGCCUGUCGCCCGCUCUGCUUGUUGGUGGCUGCUGGGAGCUGCGUGGCUCUCAGCCCGUGGGCCGGGUGCUGUGGCGGCGCAGCAGGUUGAGCCUCCCUUGAGACAUCCGCAGCCCACGGCAGGUACCCGCUCGAGUCCCGGCUCCGCUGGUCCCAGCCCUGCUUCCUGGUAACGCACACCCGGGAGGCAGCAGCUGACGGACGGUUCAAGCCCUCGUGUCCCCGCCAGGCACGGGGAGACCUGGAGGCAGUCCCGCUCCUGGCUCCGCUGGCCCAGCCCUCGCUGUUGGGGGCAUCUGGGGAGUGAACCAGCGGAUGGAAAAAAUCUCUCUUCUCCGUCUGUCUUUCUCUCUGUUGCUCUGCUUGUCAGAUAAAACGAAAACAAGAUUGGUUUCUGCCUUUUCU
ensembl:lncRNA